AGGUUAUUUCUGCAAUGACUCCUAAUGAUGACUUCGCAGGCUUUGAACCAACAAGACCACAGAAACCUGGUUUCUAUGAACCAAAUGUGGAAGAAGCCCAGAAUUCUCAUUACAAGCGCCUGACUGUGCCGUACAUGUCUCAAGGACAAGGUCAGCUGAGUGCCCCAAGAGGCGCUGUAGUAUUUGUAUUUGGUGAAGAGGACAAGGAUGGGAUGGUGACCGUCAUAUACGACGGACAG